GCCUGGUGGGGUAUCAUUUCGGGUAUAAUGUGUGUUGGCUGGAAUGCCCGACAUCGGCUGGCGCGACAGUGCCUUUUUGUCAGCGAGCACCUUUAUCAGGGAGGCUGCGCGAGGGAGGGAGGCAGAGGUGGGGCUGGGCACGAGCCGCCGCCGCCGCUUGAGGCCGCCUGUUCCGCAGAGCCCGCCGUUCCAGCUCAUAGGCCCUCCGCCGCCUCGGUACCUCCUCCUGCGGCUCCCGUACCUGGCGGAGCUGUACCUGCCGCUGAAGCACCCGCCGGCGAAGCCGGCGCUGCCCCUCAAGAUGAUGGUCUCGGCAGCGCUCGCCCGCGGGGUCUGGUCGCUUCUGCGCGAGAUGCCGCAGAAGCCGCUCCCCCUGAGGCUGAUGCUGAGACUCCUCCUGCUCCGCAGCGCGGCCGCGGCCGCGGCGUUCGCGGCGUACCUGCUGAGGCUCGGGCUGGAGUGGUCCGGGCACGUCAAGCAGAGGUUCCCGUAGUCACGGGGUUUCGGUCUCCUCCUACUCCUCGUCGUCUCCGGACCCGAACCGGUCCGGCGCAGGAGGAGCCCGUGACGACGGCGGCGGCGGAGGCUCCUCCUACGUCUCCUCCUGGUCCUAGGCAUGUAGCUGGACGGGUGUCCCAAACCCGUCGCCUAGCGGCUCCCACGUGCGCGCUCCGCCCUCCUCUUCCUCGCCGUCGUCCUCAGCCGGUUCGCGGCCGCGUCACGUAAGCCCCGUCCCAAACUUGGACCUUUUGGUCGCGGCGGUGGACCCUCGGACCUCAGGUUGUGCUUCCACCGAUUCUACUACCGAUACUACCCCAUGUUCUCUCCUCUUCCGGAGCCGUUCUUACGAGUCCCUUAGUGACGUGGUCACCUCUGGUGGAAUGCGGGGUUCUUGCGGCCUGAGCCGUCGCAGCUCCCCAAAUUCCUCGGGUUUCGAAAGUGAGGGUUCCUCUUGAACGGUGGGGGUGGAGGAGGUGGCGGACGGUUCUUCCUUUUCGUUGCCACCAGGUUCUUCCGGUCGAACUUCUUCCUAGUCCAGAACUGAUUCUUACUCGACAACCGUUCCGCGCGACUCGUCCUUGUCCUACUCGUCGGGUGUAAACAGGUUUUCCACUAACUGUACGCUCCCGGAGUCCGAGCACACAACUGUCUGAACUUCCCCGAGUCAUGACUUGUACUCUACCUCCGUUUACUACACGGCUACGGCCUCAACGUCAUGUUACACGCCGACGAACAACUACUCUGACUCCGACUAUAACAGUCCAACCUACCCGUCGACGCCGCCCUCGUCCUCUUCCACCGAUCAAACCACGCCCUCUUCCUCUUUCAUCGUUUCGUCCUCCGAAACGUCUUUGCGGUCGACGUUCAAUACCUCUGUUAACGUCUACACGACCUCUUCCAGGCCCAACUACUGUGGCGACCAAACGAGUGAGACCCCCCCAACGAAUUCUGGAAGGUCCCUAACUUCCACGCGAUACUCCUCCUCAAGUUUUAAACGUCACAACGUACCCAACGAACGGCUAAACGCGUAGGUGAUGAAUAGGCCCAUAAAGUCCCCACCGUCGGAGACGUCUUAGGUAACAAACCGAACCUCCAGUACAGUAGCACCUUCCUAAACGACGUCCCUCUGGUCGGUAUACUAAAGAGUCUACGAUGACUUAGUUACCGAGGUAUACGUGUCGACCAGUCACUCCAGUAGGAUGGUCGACACGCCUAUAGUCCUUGAUUAAGUACCUUCCGAUCCCUAGGUCUUGGUUACGAGGCAAAAGAACUCAGUACCCUUGCCAACGACGGGGGAUAGCACGAGGUAAGUUAUAACCUCGUACAUUAUUACGGUUUCGAGUGUCGACGUCAGCUUAGAACCCUGGGCGCCUCGCUCUUACACGGUUAGGUACAUACCCAUGUGGGUACCAACGGUUGAGAUCCCGUUUCCUAUCUCUGUAACACGGUGAGAUAGGCCAUGUUCGACUCAUCACAGGAGGUUAAUACCGUUCGAGUGCUAAGUAGUCGAAUACGACACGAUAGAGGUACCUUCCCACAUAAACUAGGUCGUUCAACCCUUCUGAACUAUCACGCAAUAUAGUAAGGAUUCGACUUUUACCGCGAGGUCCUCAAAGUCUAAUUGGGUCGUUCGGUCUUCAAACUGGUCAAAUUGACCCAAUACUAGACCCGAAGACGACAAGGCCAUGUGGUAUACCAAGUAUACAACCUUCAACUAAAGAAAUCAUUCACCGUCGACCAAAACAUGGUAACCAACUCGAGUGGUUUAGGACUAAAGUUACUCUAUUACUUAACCAUAUUCCCGACCUCCCCGGAAAAGGGUGGUCUCAAUGAACGGUUACUUGCGUAUGCCUACGAAGAUUGCCGACCAGAACUCUACUACUUGGUUCGACGACUUCCUGUACUCAACCACGUCGGUCCCCGAUCCCUCUUACAACCGAAGAACUCUCGUUGUCUCUUCGCCGUUAAACUACGUCGUGUCGUUCGUAGCGUUAUGGGUAGAAUGGUACGACAUGGUCCUCGUCGGUACCCUCUAUACUCGAAGUUCCUCAGAUAAGUCCGUAUACGCCGACUGGUUCCAAACAACAAAUACGGAUCUCAAUUGUUUAAGAUAUUGCCGUACGGUCACAUGCUUAAACCGUGGCACUCGUAAACGUAUCUGAGACAGUUCGCUGAUGAGAUACGUGUUGAAGUUCUCCCUUGACUUUCUACCUCAAGACACAGAGAAUGUGUUGACGACCUUUACUUGGCCUACCGUUCUGGUGCAAUCCUCUAGUAGAUAUCGAACCUUCAAAGUAGACUAGUAAAAAGGACGGUCACAUCCAUCAGAAGUUUACACAGAGCGCUAGUAACAACAUCUUAAUGAACUAUUUCUUGUUUUAAAGACUACUACAUAGACUUACACUAAAAGGUGUAAAGUUGUACCUUGAACCAAUAACGGGAUCUUGCUUAUUAACUACGUCUUGACAAAGAUGUACAUGUAACUCUAUGACAAAUAAAAAACUCCAACAAUAAAACUAUUCAAGUAAAGAACAAAACAAAGGACGCUAUUAGCUUACGGGAGGGUGAUCCUAAUAAUUACACGUAGAUCGAAAACAGUGAUACAUAAUUUCUAAAUCCUUUGAUGGUGUGCAUGACAUUAUGAAAACCUACCUACUUAAAAAACGAGCUACGGUACAAGUCGAUAAUUAUACUGUAAAACCCAAUAACGACACGUAUCGAAAACGACACAACCCACGUAUAUUAAAAUUUUAAACAACCAACAUCGUAAAAUAGGUCAUGGUGAGAAGAAAU
rnacentral:rRNA from 1 species